UACGGAGGGUGCGAGCGUUGUCCGGAAUCACUGGGCGUAAAGGGCGCGUAGGCGGCCUGAUAAGUCGGGGGUGAAAUCCUGCGGCUUAACCGCAGGGCUGCCUUCUAAACUGUCAGGCUCGAGCACAGUAGAGGCUGGUGGAAUUCCCGGUGUAGCGGUGGAAUGCGUAGAGAUCGGGAAGAACAUCAGUGGCGAAGGCGGCCUGCUGGGCUGUUGCUGACGCUGAGGCGCGACAGCGUGGGGAGCAAACAGG
rnacentral:rRNA from 1 species